GACAGAGGGUGCAAACGUUGCUCGGAAUUACUGGGCGUAAAGCGUGUGUAGGCGGCCGUGCAAGUCGGAUGUGAAAUCCCCGGGCUCAACCCGGGAAGUGCACCCGAAACUGCAGGGCUCGAGUACCGGAGAGGUUGGUGGAAUUCUCGGUGUAGAGGUGAAAUUCGUAGAUAUCGAGAGGAACACCGGUGGCGAAGGCGGCCAACUGGACGAGUACUGACGCUGAGACACGAAAGCGUGGGGAGCAAACAGG
rnacentral:rRNA from 1 species